GCCCCCCGGGGCACAGCUCAACUGGUGGAUCAAUCAACAUUGGCUUGCUUCCAGCGGCAGGGUGGAGAGUUCGAUUCCUAGUGGGAACCUGCGGCCAAAAAUUUGGUAUGGAGCAAUCACUGUAAAGGAGGGUCUCUUGUGCGCAGAAGUGUACAGUCAAUGGGGGGAACCUGUGAUUCAGUUGAGGCAUAUCCCGCGAUUU
rnacentral:lncRNA from 1 species